UAAGGAAUAUUGGACAAUGGCCGCAAGGCUGAUCCAGCCAUGCCGCGUGAAGGAUGAAGGUGCUAUGCAUUGUAAACUUCUUUUGUCCCGGAAUAAACCCCUGAUUUCUAUCGGGGCUGAAUGUACGGGAAGAAUAAGGGACGGCUAACUUCGUGCCAGCAGCCGCGGUAAUACGAAGGUCCCAAGCGUUAUCCGGAUUUAUUGGGUUUAAAGGGUGCGUAGGCGGGUUGUUAAGUCAGUGGUGAAAGCCUACAGCUUAACUGUAGAAUUGCCAUUGAUACUGACGAUCUUGAGUAUGGUUGAGGAGGGCGGAAUGUGUCAUGUAGCGGUGAAAUGCUUAGAUAUGACACAGAACACCGAUUGCGAAGGCAGCUCUCUAAGCCAAUACUGACGCUGAUGCACGAAAGCGUGGGGAGCAAACAGG
rnacentral:rRNA from 1 species